rnacentral:tRNA from 1 species
CAUUAGAUGACUGAAAGUAAGUUUUGGUCUCUUAAACCUGAUAAUAGUAAUUAACGUUUACUUCUAAUGA